rnacentral:lncRNA from 1 species
GGAGAGCCCGGACCCGGAGGCUUCCCCCCCCGGGGCGGGGGGGAUGAGCAGGGCGGCCAACAGCGCGGCCAGCUGACACAGCGGCGGCAUGAGACUGUGACGGCGGAGUGGUGGGGUGGGUGGGUGGCAGGCGUGUAAGUGCGUAUGUAUGUUGUUACAGGGUGGUUAACUUCGCCAGCGGCCCCCUUUCCCGGGGCAGUCCCUGCUCUCCCCUGCUAGAGGGGCACCCUAAUCCGUCACCCCAUCCGACUUCAGAAUGUAUUCGUUGGGUUCGGCAACUCACCACCAGCAUUCAACCAAAUCUAGCGGAUCAACGGCGCAUCAACUUAGUUCCUGGUCAGCUCGCAAGUUGAUAUUAUCACGUCCUACACCGUCCAUAAGAUGGGGGGCCACCUCCCAUUUCAUCACUCCUCAAUCACCCGAGGAGCUGGCAGGCGGAUUUGAACCCGGGUCGACUGGAUCGACUGGGAGCAGAAGUCAGGCCUUAACUUCUGCCAGCCGCCUGCGUAUGUAUGUCUGCGCGUGCGUAUGUAUGUAUGUAUGUAUGUAUGUAUGAAUGUGUGUCUCACUAGUGGGCAAACCCCUGGAAAGGCGAGCUGGGGGGCACAUCUGCAUGUUUGGAUGGGUGUGGGUGUGGGGGUGUGAG